CAAAAAUAGGUAAUAAUCCAUCUAACCAAUCCCAACUAACUUCACAGAUUGAUUUGAAAUAGUUUUUGCAAAUAUAAAAAAAGAGGAGAAUGUGGCCUCUUGCUUAUCAGUCUCAUAGAGUGGAAUAAACUACUAAAAAAUAACAGUUCUUUUGGGGGAAAUCCAGCGGAGUUCGAGAGAACCACCAAUUCGUUUAGACGUUUGAUAUACAACAGUGAAAUUAUCAUCGAUCCUAAAGAUUUUAUUUACGGUUUGUAAUAGAAAUUGGCAGUCAGACGCGGUGCAUUGAGGAGUUUUGUUGACUCGAAACCCAUUAGCAGCCUUCAAUGAAAUGUGUGGAUUAACCGUACCUGUGUCAAAACUGUGUAUUGUACAAAAGCAUUUGUUCUAAAGCAAUUAUUACAUUCUAGCUGCUUAUCCCCUUGCACCAAACAACAUGAUGGUGUAAUCAACGAUCGACGCUAUUCAUCGGGCUAACCCCGAUUAUCAAUAUCUAGUUUUACUACAGUAUCUAACUACUUUAACAAGAAACAAUAGAAUUAUCGAACACCCAGCUCGGUGAGCGGAAUGCAAAACAGGCAGAUGAAAGUAGAAAUUCUAGAAUUUAGUAAUAAAAAUAUGACUAUUGUCUAGUCCUCGAAACAAGUCAAGUAAAGAACAAGUCGACUUACCUGUUUUCGUUUGA